CAGCCAGCUAAUAGUUGCACUUAUGAUUCUAAGGGUGGUGUCUCAUUUCUUGAUAACGUUAUCUUUCCUCUCUAUGAUAUUGUUUCUGCAGAAGCAGCAAACAAUGAUAAUGGGAAAGCACCUCAUUCCUCCUGGAGAAAUUAUGACGAUUUUAAUGAGUAUUUCUGGUCACUCCAUUGCUUUGAGCUUGGUUGGCCAUGG